UACCAGCACCCCGAGUGGUCGGGAUGAUUAUUGGGCCUAAAGCAUCCGUAGCCGGCCUUACAAGUCCUCCGUUAAAUCCAGCUGCUUAACAGAUGGGCUGCGGAGGAUACUAUAAGACUAGGAGGCAGGAGAGGCAAGCGGUACUCAGUGGGUAGGGGGUAAAAAUCCGUUUGAUCCAUUGAAGACACCAGUGGCGAAGGCGGCUUGCCAGAAUGCGCUCGACGGUGAGGGAUGAAAGCUGGGGGGAGCAAACCGGG
rnacentral:rRNA from 1 species